rnacentral:misc_RNA from 1 species
UUCUUGCUUUACAAUCGCAUGUCCAUCUUUGGCAGCGACGAUGAUUCCGGCAAUUAACUUGCGUGGAUCUGGGCCUAGUCUUUUUAUUAUUUAUUAUUAUUAUUUUUAAUUUCAAUUUCCUUUUAUUGUAAAUUUCCGGACAGUGGGUACGUAGAUUUUUCUUGUGUGAAAAUAGGAUGGUGUUUCUGUAUUUAGAAUUUUAUUUCGAGGGUAUUAUUGUAAUCGCAAGUAGUUCGUAGUGGUUACUGCCCAGAAGUGGGAAGCUAAAAUAUCUGUAUUUUUUUCAUCUAAGGGCAAUUUUGUUACUUCAU